rnacentral:rRNA from 1 species
GUAGGUGGCAAGCGUUGUCCGGAAUUAUUGGGCGUAAAGCGCGCGCAGGCGGUUCUUUAAGUCUGAUGUGAAAGCCCACGGCUCAACCGUGGAAGGUCAUUGGAAACUGGAGAACUUGAGUACAGAAGAGGAAAGCGGAAUUCCACGUGUAGCGGUGAAAUGCGUAGAGAUGUGGAGGAACACCAGUGGCGAAGGCGGCUUUUCUGGUCUGUAACUGACGCUGAGGCGCGAAAGCGUGGGGAGCAAACAGGGAUUAGAUACCCUGGUAGUCCACGCCGUAAACGAUGAGUGCUAAGUGUUAGGGGGGGUUUCCGCCCCCCUUAGUGCUGCAGCUAACGCAUUAAGCACUCCGCCUGGGGAGUACGGCCGCAAGGCUG